GUAUGCUUACUGUAUACCAGGCUAUUUAGAAAUUUAGAAAGGAUUUUCAAUACGGUCUAAUAUACAAAGGCUCCUCUUUCUAUUAAACUGAUACAGAGAUGCUAUAUUGAGGUAAUUUAUUU